UCCGGAGGAUGCAAGCGUUCUCCGGAAUGAUUGGGCGUAAAGCGUCCGCAGGUGGCUGUGUAAGUCUGCUGUCAAAGAGCAAAGCUCAACUUUGUAAAGGCAGUGGAAACUACACGGCUAGAGUGCGUUCGGGGCAGAGGGAAUUCCUGGUGUAGCGGUGAAAUGCGUAGAGAUCAGGAAGAACACCGGUGGCGAAGGCGCUCUGCUAGGCCGCAACUGACACUGAGGGACGAAAGCUAGGGGAGCGAAUGGG
rnacentral:rRNA from 1 species